rnacentral:lncRNA from 1 species
AUACCCAGUCGAGCCUCUUACCCUCAUAGACUCGUUUUCAGUCGUCACCACCCUGAGAUCCACACACUCUGAUCACCCACACACCUUCCUCUUCUCACCUCUUCAUGGCCUCAUUCUGCUGAUUCCCCAAGACCUGGUCCAGGACUUGACUCCUCCGCAGCCCUCCUCGGAGGCUUAGCCUCCAGUGACUUUGCCAUUGGUUUGCAAGUGAUCCUCGUCCCUGUUAGGUUUUGUUUUUUUUAUUUUGUCUGAGACAGAGUCUCGCAACUAGCCCAGACUAGCCUGGAACUGGCAAUCCUCCUGCCUUGGCCCUUCCAAGUACGGAAUUAAAGGUAUGUGCCACCAUGCCCACCCAGCUUUCUGCCACCUCAUUGGCUACAACAUUAACAGCUUUGCAAUGGGGCAUUCGCUGCUAAGGGUCCAGGCUCUUGUACCAGGCAGCAGGAACCUGCAAGGCAUCAAAGAAUAAGUCCUUUCUGCUCCCACUUCAAAAGAACACAGAUUGUUUAGGGUAAGUGGGAUUGAGUCCCCCAAGGACAAAAGAUACAAUUUGGCAGUUUCCACAGCAGGUAUGACAUCCCUCUCUUUUUAGGGCUCACAGGGCUGGAGUAUAACCUGAAGCAAGGUAAAUUUUUGUUUGUUUGCUUCUUCACUUUGAGGAGGUGGAAAGUGUGUUGAACGUUUAGAACCCACAAUAAUGUGCUGCACUUUGUAUCCCCAAGUAAAGUCAAGAACUGACUUAAAAAAAAAAAAAAAAAAAAAAAA